rnacentral:lncRNA from 10 species
UGCUUAGAAUUCUGCACAUGAAAGCAAGAGUAGGCAGAGAAUCCAAAAAAUAAUAGUUUCUGUGUGCCAGGUAUUCUACCCAAUUUCCCCUCAGUUUUAUAUUCUUGCUGAAAUAACAGAAGAUGCCAAUCAUUUUGAUGAUCACUUCAGCAAUUAAUCUUCACACUAGAAGCAGAAAAAAAUUAGUCUUGUGCAGUCUGGAUUUAUCUACUCAAACCUUCAAUAAGGAAUAGGCAUCCACAUCUUCACACGUUACUUGUGGGGAAACUUCCCAUCAUUAUGGAAACAUUGAUCCUAAAUGAGCCUUGUUCUAAGUCAUACUAGAAAUCUAGAAAUUCUCUGGGGCAAUGGAGGAGAUUAGCCAAAGCCAGG